GGGGCCGUAGGGUAGCUUGGUCCAUCCUCCCAGCUAUUGAUGCUGGAGACCCGAGUUCAAAUCUCGGCGGCCCCA
rnacentral:tRNA from 1 species